rnacentral:misc_RNA from 1 species
GAAGCAUAUUUCUUAAGAGAAUGACGUGUGAGAUGGAUAGAUCUCUGUAAAAUGAGAUAUGGAGAUCAAGAAAUAGAACUAUAGAAGAGAAGCCAUAAGCAAAAUAGAGUUAAGCUGAUAAUGAAGGAUCUGAGAAAUCUAUUGCACUUUUUGGGUAGGUUAGAGAAUGCAUGUAAGGUCUAGAUUUGGAUUAUAGUAGAAAUGCUGGGCUUAUUUCUGU